UACAGAGGUCUCAAGCGUUUGUUCGGAUUCAUUGGGCGUUAAAGGGUGCGUAGGUGGCGCCGUAAGUCGGGUGUGAAAGCCCCCGGCUCAACUGGGGAGGGUCAUUCGAUACGUGAUCGACUCGAAGGCAGGAGAGGUAGUGGAAUUCCCGGUGUAGUGGUGAAAUGCGUAGAUAUCGGAGGAACACCAGUGGCGAAGGCGACUACCUGGCCUGUUCUUGACGCUGGAGGCGCGAAAGCUAGGGGAGCAAACGGGG
rnacentral:rRNA from 1 species